rnacentral:rRNA from 1 species
UAAGGAAUCUUCCGCAAUGGACGAAAGUCUGACGGAGCAACGCCGCGUGCAGGAUGACGGCCUUCGGGUUGUAAACUGCUUUUAUUUGGGAAGAUUGUGACGGUACCAAAUGAAUAAGGACCGGCUAACUACGUGCCAGCAGCCGCGGUAAUACGUAGGGUCCAAGCGUUAUCCGGAAUCACUGGGCGUAAAGCGUGCGUAGGUGGAUUGUUAAGUGCAAUGCGAAAUCCUGUGGCUCAACCAUAUGGACUGUAUCGCAUACUGGCAAUCUAGAGGACAUGAGAGGCAAGUGGAAUUACCGGUGUAGCAGUGAAAUGCGUAGAUAUCGGUAGGAACACCAAUGGCGAAGGCAGCUUGCUGGCAUGUUUCUGACGCUAAGGCACGAAAGCGUGGGGAGCGAACAG